rnacentral:rRNA from 1 species
GCUUAACACAUGCAAGUCGAACGGAAAGGCCCUGCUUUUGUGGGGUGCUCGAGUGGCGAACGGGUGAGUAACACGUGAGUAACCUGCCCUUGACUUUGGGAUAACUUCAGGAAACUGGGGCUAAUACCGGAUAGGAGCUCCUGCUGCAUGGUGGGGGUUGGAAAGUUUCGGCGGUUGGGGAUGGACUCGCGGCUUAUCAGCUUGUUGGUGGGGUAGUGGCUUACCAAGGCUUUGACGGGUAGCCGGCCUGAGAGGGUGACCGGCCACAUUGGGACUGAGAUACGGCCCAGACUCCUACGGGAGGCAGCAGUGGGGAAUAUUGCACAAUGGGCGGAAGCCUGAUGCAGCAACGCCGCGUGCGGGAUGACGGCCUUCGGGUUGUAAACCGCUUUCGCCUGUGACGAAGCGUGAGUGACGGUAAUGGGUAAAGAAGCACCGGCUAACUACGUGCCAGCAGCCGCGGUGAUACGUAGGGUGCGAGCGUUGUCCGGAUUUAUUGGGCGUAAAGGGCUCGUAGGUGGUUGAUCGCGUCGGAAGUGUAAUCUUGGGGCUUAACCCUGAGCGUGCUUUCGAUACGGGUUGACUUGAGGAAGGUAGGGGAGAAUGGAAUUCCUGGUGGAGCGGUGGAAUGCGCAGAUAUCAGGAGGAACACCAGUGGCGAAGGCGGUUCUCUGGGCCUUUCCUGACGCUGAGGAGCGAAAGCGUGGGGAGCGAACAGGCUUAGAUACCCUGGUAGUCCACGCUGUAAACGGUGGGUACUGGGUGUGGGGUCCAUUCCACGGGUUCCGUGCCGUAGCUAACGCUUUAAGUACCCCGCCUGGGGAGUACGGCCGCAAGGCUAAAACUCAAAGGAAUUGACGGGGCCCCGCACAAGCGGCGGAGCAUGCGGAUUAAUUCGAUGCAACGCGUAGAACCUUACCUGGGUUUGACAUGGAUCGGGAGUGCUCAGAGAUGGGUGUGCCUCUUUUGGGGUCGGUUCACAGGUGGUGCAUGGCUGUCGUCAGCUCGUGUCGUGAGAUGUUGGGUUAAGUCCCGCAACGAGCGCAACCCUUGUUCACUGUUGCCAGCACGUUAUGGUGGGGACUCAGUGGAGACCGCCGGGGUCAACUCGGAGGAAGGUGGGGAUGACGUCAAGUCAUCAUGCCCCUUAUGUCCAGGGCUUCACGCAUGCUACAAUGGCUGGUACAGAGAGUGGCGAGCCUGUGAGGGUGAGCGAAUCUCGGAAAGCCGGUCUCAGUUCGGAUUGGGGUCUGCAACUCGACCUCAUGAAGUCGGAGUCGCUAGUAAUCGCAGAUCAGCAACGCUGCGGUGAAUACGUUCCCGGGGCU